rnacentral:rRNA from 1 species
AUCAACUUUCGAUGGUAGGAUAGAGGCCUACCAUGGUUUUAACCGGGGAAUUAGGGUUCGAUUCCGGAGAGGGAGCCUGAGAAACGGCUACCACAUCCAAGGAAGGCAGCAGGCACGCAAAUUACCCAAUCCCGACACGGGGAGGUAGUGACAAUAAAUAACAAUACGGGGCUCAUUUGGGUCCCGUAAUUGGAAUGAGUACAAUUUAAAUCUCUUAACGAGGAACAAUUGGAGGGCAAGUCUGGUGCCAGCAGCCGCGGUAAUUCCAGCUCCAAUAGCGUAUAUUAAAGUUGUUGCAGUUAAAAAGCUCAUAGUUGAACUUCGGGGUUCACCCAUUGGUCAGGCUUAAUUGUCUGUACUGGUGAGAUGAGUCUCUACCUUCUGAGGAACUUUCAUGCCAUUUAUUUGGUGUGGUUGGAAAUCAGGACUGUUACUUUGAAAAAAUUAGAGUGUUUAAAGCAGGCUAACGUCUGAAUACAUUAGCAUGGAAUAAUGAAAUAGGACGGAUUGAUUCUAUUUCGUUGGUUUCUAGGGUCACCGUAAUGAUUAAUAGGGAUAGUUGGGGGCAUUAGUAUUCAAUUGUCAGAGGUGAAAUUCUUGGAUUUAUUGAAGACUAACUACUGCGAAAGCAUUUGCCAAGGAUGUUUUCAUUAAUCAAGAACGAAAGUUAGGGGAUCGAAGACGAUCAGAUACCGUCGUAGUCUUAACCAUAAACUAUACCGACUAGGGAUCGGACGCAGUUAAUUUUAUAAUGACGUGUUCGGCACCUUACGGGAAACCAAAGUGUUUGGGUCC